UCCUACGGGAGGCAGCAGUAGGGAAUCUUCCGCAAUGGGCGAAAGCCUGACGGAGCAACGCCGCGUGAGUGAUGAAGGUCUUCGGAUCGUAAAACUCUGUUAUUAGGGAAGAACAAACGUGUAAGUAACUGUGCACGUCUUGACGGUACCUAAUCAGAAAGCCACGGCUAACUACGUGCCAGCAGCCGCGUA
rnacentral:rRNA from 1 species